rnacentral:rRNA from 1 species
UUGGAGGGCAAGUCUGGUGCCAGCAGCCGCGGUAAUUCCAGCUCCAAUAGCGUAUAUUAAAGUUGUUGCAGUUAAAAAGCUCGUAGUUGAAUUUCGGGGUCAGUAGGUUGGUCGUGCCACCGGUACGUACUGGUCUCACUGAUUCCUCCUUCCUGAAGAACCGCAAUGCCAUUAAUUUGGUGUUGCGGGGAAACAGGACUGUUACUUUGAAAAAAUUAGAGUGUUUAAAGCAAGCUAACGCUUGAAUACAUUAGCAUGGAAUAAUGAAAUAGGACGAUCGAUCCUAUUUUGUUGGUUUCUAGGAUUGACGUAAUGAUUAAUAGGGAUAGUUGGGGGCAUUAGUAUUCAAUUGUCAGAGGUGAAAUUCUUGGAUUUAUUGAAGACUAACUACUGCGAAAGCAUUUGCCAAGGAUGUCUUCAUUAAUCAAGAACGAAAGUUAGGGGAUCGAAGACGAUCAGAUACCGUCGUAGUCUUAACCAUAAACUAUGCCGACUAGGGAUCGGGUGAUGUUAAUUUUAUAAUGACUCAUUCGGCGCCUUACGGGAAAC